AACGGCAAAAUAUUACAAUUCGUUCACUUGUAAUUCAAACGUUGUGUGUUUGUGAAGUGUGUAGUGUUGCUGUGUGAUUUAUUUUCGGGCUUGUUGUCGGAGCGAACUUGGCCCAAAUCCAAUUGCUUCCUGGAAUGUAGUCGCGCGUUUCCAUUACAAAAAAAAAAUCAAUUGGAAUUAUUUAAAAUAAAUACAUAUACCCAUGAAAAGGUUUUUACGACAAAUUUUCUAAUUACAAUUAUUAAACGAGAAACUAUUGCUGAAUCCAGAUGGGUUGAGAAAAGCUGAAUUGAUAAGCGCUGCAGGCGAAGACCGCAGUCAUCCAGGAUAAAUAAAAAAUUGAAAAUAAACAGCUAUCAACUAUCAUCACUAAAGAAAAUUUAUUUAAUGGUGUUUUUUGAUUUUCUGGUGAUAAUAAAAUUAUCAAGAAUCAUCGAAUAAGAACGGACUGAAUACAAAAAAUAAAAUUUUUUCAAACAAAAAUUUGUGGCUUCAAAACAGCCACAAAAUUGAACAACAUAAAAUCUUUGAGAAGACAACUGUUUCUUCUCAAAAUCAAUUAUUCGAUGGAAGUCCCUUAAUUAUUGUUUUUCAAUUAAAAAAUUUAAUACUGUAAAAAUUUAU